CACACACAUUCAAUGUUUAAGUCUUUCCAAUAUGUUGGAACUGGGUUUAAUUUUAAAUUUUAUGUUAUUUUAGAUUGGAUGUUUCUGAUUCAUGGGUUUCGGCUGCUUUCAUGAUUCACAGCUUAAUCUCGUCGAGUUAUUAUGGAUUACAGCUUCGGUCUUGAUCGGAAUUGAUAGUACUUUGGAGUCAAAGACAGUUUUUGGGGUGAUUGACAUACAUACAAAUUACAAUACAUAAUGGGUGGAAUUCGCACCACAGUGAAAACAGCAAUGAGAACGGGGCUCAAAGUAGAAUAUGUCAUUAUAGAUUACCCUCGAGAUAGCAAUGAGUUUGAUGGACUGUCCCCAAGAGCAAUUAGUAGUACAACUACAUGCCCGGCUA